rnacentral:rRNA from 1 species
GACGAACGCUGGCGGCGUGCUUAACACAUGCAAGUCGAACGGAAAGGCCCUGCUUUUGUGGGGUGCUCGAGUGGCGAACGGGUGAGUAACACGUGAGUAACCUGCCCUUGACUUUGGGAUAACUUCAGGAAACUGGGGCUAAUACCGGAUAGGAGCUCCUGCUGCAUGGUGGGGGUUGGAAAGUUUCGGCGGUUGGGGAUGGACUCGCGGCUUAUCAGCUUGUUGGUGGGGUAGUGGCUUACCAAGGCUUUGACGGGUAGCCGGCCUGAGAGGGUGACCGGCCAAAUGGGAACGGGGAUACGGCCAGACCUCCGACGGGGGGAAGCAGGGGGGAAUAUGGCACAAGGGGCGGAAGCCUGAUGCAGAAACGCCGCGUGGGGGAGGACGGCCUUCGGGUGGUAAACCGCUUUCGCCGGUGACGAAGCGGGGGUGACGGUAAUGGGUAAAGAAGCACCGGCUAACUACGU